rnacentral:lncRNA from 1 species
ACCUGCUCCAACUCCCAAAUCCCCAGACACACAGGGACAGAAGCACCUUGAGGAACAGCAGGAUUGGGCCCCCGAGAGAUCCAGGAAAUGGGGUCCGAACAUUCAGUAGCAGAAGAGUUUUCCGUUCGGAGUAUGCUUGUCUCCUCACCCACCCCCUCCCGCGUGGUUCUGAGACAAGGAGGCUCCGCUCUUGGCCACCACGGUGACCUCCAGCAAGCAGGAAUCUGGAGAAGUUUCUGGUCAGGGCAGAGGUCGGGGAAACGGGCUUUCCUGUCACAUUCCAGAGGGGCCUGACGUUCUCUGUAGGGUCACAACAGACACUGAGCCAUGACACAGAAAUCCUCCAGGAUUGGACCUGUAAUUCUUUGUGUUGGGUCUACUCACGUCCUCAUCGACGUCACUUGCCAGACCACAACUUUUGGGCUGUGACUGAUCCGGGACCGCAGUGCUGGUGAGCAGGGGCGGGGACCCGUGACCCGGGAGAGUGUGGACAGCAGGCUGUGGAGGUCGGCGGGUCACCUGUGCUGGCCGAGGGGCUCUCGUGGGCACAGGGGGUCCCAGGAACAGUCCGUGUUCCAUCAGGAGCCUAGACCUGCAGGACCGCGUGCCGGCCCAGGAGACGGACAAAGGUUCGGGAGGAGGCCGCGGGGAGUCGGUGGCAGGCUGUCAGCCCUCCUGGUAUGGACCCUCCUGGUCACAGCGCGGCUGUUAGAUGGUCCUGCCUUCCUCCCUCCGCGCCCCCCCCCCCCGACUUGAAGAUAAAGGAUCUUCAUAAAAACACGAGUUUACUGUUCAGAUUCGAUCCUACUCACUUUGAGGCAUCUCCCCGCCCCCACAGCCAUGGCCAAGGGCCCAGGGAACCGGCCUGGCGCUUCCCCGGGAAGCUCGUCUGCCUUCGUCCAGGAGACCGGAAGCUCACCUCUGAUGGGGCACCGGCAGCUCAUAGUCCCAGGGGAGACGAGUGCUAGCAAGGACGCCCCCCUCGCCAUCCCCAGGAAGGUCCAAGGGGCUCUCCACUCAGUGGCCGAAUGCACUGUGGCCCUUGCCUUCAGGACGAGUGAAGGUUUGCUCCGGGAAAACCCAGCCAUCCUGUCCCCACAUAUCUCCACCUGCCCCCACCUGCCCUCACCUGUCUCCACCUGCUCUUAGGUGGUUUCCCUGCCCUCACCUCUUCCCACCUGCUCUCACCUGCUCCCCCUCUCCUCCCAGAGGUAGAUGUAGCCAUUGGUCAGUGAGUGUCCCCAAGGCCCUCGUAUGCUUGUGUGCCGUGUAGAAUUUGAACAGGACUAGGGUACACGGGGAUGGUGUGCGGCAGCUUUUUUCUUGCAAAGCGUGUCGACGGCUCCUUCUACGAGCUCACACAUACCUACAUCAUCCUUUCAAUGGCUGUGAGGAAUUUCCUAUGGUGAAAGAGCCCUGAUCUGUUAAACUUCCCCCCU